CCUACGGGAGGCAGCAGCGGGGAAUAUUGCACAAUGGGGGAAACCCUGAUGCAGCCAUGCCGCGUGUGUGAAGAAGGCCUUCGGGUUGUAAAGCACUUUCAGUUGUGAGGAAAGUUUAGUAGUUAAUACCUGCUAGAUGUGACGUUAGCAACAGAAGAAGCACCGGCUAACUCCGUGCCAGCAGCCGCGGUAAUACGGAGGGUGCGAGCGUUAAUCGGAAUUACUGGGCGUAAAGCGCACGCAGGCGGUCUGUUAAGCUAGAUGUGAAAGCCCCGCGCUCAACGUGGGAGGGUCAUUUAGAACUGGCAGACUAGAGUCUUGGAGAGGGGAGUGGAAUUCCAGGUGUAGCGGUGAAAUGCGUAGAGAUCUGGAGGAACAUCAAUGGCGAAGGCAACUCCCUGGCCAAAGACUGACGCUCAUGUGCGAAAGUGUGGGUAGCGAACAGGAUUAGAUACCCUGGUAGUCCACACCGUAAACGCUGUCUACUAGCUGUUUGUGAAUUUAAUUCGUGAGUAGCGAAGCUAACGCGAUAAGUAGACCGCCUGGGGAGUACGGCCGCAAGGUUAAAACUCAAAGGAAUUGACGG
rnacentral:rRNA from 1 species